UGGGUUUGACAUUCUAGGAUUAGCCGCCUGAAAGGGUGGUGACGCUUCGCAAGAAGUGGAACUAGGACAGGUGUUGCAUGGCUGUCGUCAGCUCGUGCCGUGAGGUGUUGGGUUAAGUCCCCUAACGAGCGAAACCUUUGUCCUUAGUUGCCAGCGGGUAAUGCCGGGGACUCUAGGGAGACUGCAGACGUGAAGUCUGAGGAAGGUGGAGACGACGUCAAGUCAUCAUGGCCCUUACGCCCAGGGCUACACACGUGCUACAAUGGUCGGUACAAAGGGAAGCGAGUCUGCAAGGAGGAGCAAAUCCCAAAAAGCCGAUCUCAGUUCGGAUUGUGGGCUGCAAUUCGCCCACAUGAAGCUGGAAUCGCUAGUAAUCGUGGGUCAGCUAUACCACGGUGAAUGUGUUCCCGAGCCU
rnacentral:rRNA from 1 species